AAAAUGAACAAAUCCAUCAUCCUUGUCCUGCUCCCAUGCCUUGUUGCUUUCGUCAUGGCCCAGCAAUACGGAUACCAAUCCGGAUACCAGUCAGGAUACCCAGCUUACUACCACAAUCAAUAUAAUGCCUACAGACAACAGACCGGACUGUACAACUAUGGAAACGCUGCCACAGCUCAACUCCAAGGAGCAAAACUUCUUAACUACUUGUUUGGAUUCUUGCUCCUUUUGGACUUCACCAACGCAACUGGAAACUCUCUGGGCACAAUUGGUUAAGACAUAUGAUGAUUAAGUUCGAGAUAUAUAAACAGAAGCCAGACCUGCUAAACCCCAGCAUAUGGCGUGUUCAUCAGAAUGUGUUGUUUAUGUCAGUAGAACAUUACUUUCAUUACAUUGGCAGACUGUUAUAGUUUUAUAGAAUAUUACAAUAAAAGAUAAAA